rnacentral:tRNA from 1 species
AGUUAUUUAUCUUAAAAGGUAAAGAAAAUGUUUUGAAAGCAUUAUAAAAGAGUUCGACUCUCUUAAUAACUU